rnacentral:rRNA from 1 species
UACGUAGGUGGCGAGCGUUGUCCGGAUUUACUGGGUGUAAAGGGCGUGUAGGCGGGGAUGUAAGUCAGAUGUGAAAUUCCAUGGCUCAACUGUGGGGCUGCAUCUGAAACUAUAUCUCUUGAGUGCUGGAGAGGAAAGCGGAAUUCCUAGUGUAGCGGUGAAAUGCGUAGAUAUCAGGAGGAACACCGGUGGCGAAGGCGGAUCUCGUGGGCCAUUACUGACGCUGAGGAGCGAAAGCGUGGGGAGCGAAUA